rnacentral:rRNA from 1 species
GACUAACGCUGGCGGCGUGCCUAACACAUGCAAGUCGAACGAGUUGUAUAUAGUAGCAAUAUUGUAUACGGCAAGUGGCGAACGGGUGAGUAACACGUAGAUAAUCUGCCUUUCAGACGGGGACAACUCAGGGAAACUUGUGCUAAUACCCGAUGAGACUACGAGGGGGGACUUUCGUAGCCAAAGGUGGGGGCAACCUCACGCUGAAAGAUGAGUCUGCGUCCUAUCAGCUAGUUGGUGGGGUAAAAGCCUACCAAGGCGAAGACGGGUAGCCGGCCUGAGAGGGUGAACGGCCACACUGGGACUGAGACACGGCCCAGACUCCUACGGGAGGCAGCAGUGAGGAAUUUUCCGCAAUGGGCGCAAGCCUGACGGAGCGACGCCGCGUGAGGGAUGACGGCCUCGGUUGUAACCUACUUUAUUAGGUAAAAGAACAUUGUGCUAAUACACGGAUGUUUGUAUUGUACCUGUUGUAAUAAGACCCGGCCUAACUACGUGCCAGCAGCCGCGGUAAA